GGAGACAGGUGCUGCAUGGCUGUCGUCAGCUCGUGUCGUGAGAUGUUGGGUUAAGUCCCGCAACGAGCGCAACCCUUGCCUUUAGUUUGCCAGCAGUUCGGCUGGGCGACUCUAAAGGGACUGCCGGUGUUAAACCGGAGGAAGGUGGGGAUGACGUCAAGUCCUCAUGGCCUUUAUGACCAGGGCUACACACGUACUACAAUGGCCGAUACAAAGGGCAGCGACACUGCGAGGUGAAGCCAAUCCCGUAAAAUCGGUCUCAGUCCGGAUUGGAGUCUGCAACUCGACUCCAUGAAGUUGGAAUCGCUAGUAAUCGUGGAUCAGCAUGCCACGGUGAAUACGUUCCCGGGCCUU
rnacentral:rRNA from 1 species